UUUUUAAUUGCCCGAAAUAAUUGGCUGUGAAUAAAGAGGUAAUUGACCCUUGAACUCCAUCUCAUUUGCUUCGCUCAAGACCUCAAACAACAAAAGUCGAUCACGAGCAGCACUGAUCGUGAACCUCUCUAUGGUCGCUGUCAUCUUUCCUCUCUCUGUUAUUUUUCAUAUUUUGUUGGAGAAUACCAUAGAAAAUCUGGAGUAGACCAUAGAAAAUCUGGUGGUAUUCAAGAUAACAUACCAGUAAAGAGAAUGAGUAAGCCAUAGAAAAUUUGGAGUAGACUAUAUGUCCUCUCCUUGUUUUUGAGCCACCAUUGUCUUCGAUUUUCUCUAAAUUAUGUGUCUAAUUUUAGGCAAAUCUGAAGAUUUCAGUUUGUGUUGAAUCUUUCUCUCUCUUCUCUCUCACUGAAAGAUACCUAAAAGCCUCCUCCCCUGUCUCUCAUUCAUAAGUAUGGCAGAUUGGCAAUAGAUGGAACGUAAAUCGGGUAGCUUCAGAGGAUUACAUUUUGAAUUUUUGCGUGUAUUUUGUCAUAGGAUUUUGUAGCUUGGAAGUUUUUUUGGAAUCAUUAUGUACAUGUUUGAAGUUUCGGAUUGUAAGGGAUUUACUUAUGUUGAAUGUUUUGAACAUGUUUAAUAUGCUACUACUUUUGAAUUAAGUUUAUAGUUUGGAUGCUUUGAACAACGUAUUAAAUUUUUUAUUUUUUUU